rnacentral:rRNA from 1 species
UACGUAGGGGGCUAGCGUUGUCCGGAAUCAUUGGGCGUAAAGCGCGUGUAGGCGGUCCGGUAAGUCCGCUGUGAAAGUCGAGGGCUCAACCCUCGAAUGCCGGUGGAUACUGUCGGGCUAGAGUGCGGAAGAGGCGAGUGGAAUUCCUGGUGUAGCGGUGAAAUGCGCAGAUAUCAGGAGGAACACCGGUGGCGAAGGCGGGUCUCUGGGCCGUAACUGACGCUGAGGAGCGAAAGCGUGGGGAGCAAACAGG